rnacentral:lncRNA from 1 species
CUGGGGGGUGUUGGCACCCCGACCUUCGGGGGCUGAUUUUUGGGCGCGGCUGUGCCCGUGGCCUAUUUUUGGCACACGGAGGCCGCCCGCAACGUCUGGGGCCAUUCCGAGUGCGGCGGACGAACUUCGCCCACGCCCCCCACCAAGGCUAUAGCCCACCCGUUUUUUGGCCAUUUUUCCGCUGGGGGGUCUUGGCACCCCGACCUUCGGGGGCUGAUUUUUGGGCGCGGCUCUGCCCGUGGCCUAUUUUUGGCACACGGAAGCCGCCCGCAAAGUCUGGGGCCAUUCCGAGUCCGGCGGACGAACUUCGCCCACGCCCCCCACCAAGGCUAUAGCCCACCCGUUUUUUGGCCAUUUUUCCGCUGGGGGGUCAUGGCACCCCGACCUUCGGGGGCUGAUUGUUGGGCGCGGCUCUGCCCGUGGCUUAUUUUUGGCACACGGAGGCCGCCCGCAAAGUCUGUGGCCAUUCAGAGUUCGGCGGACGAACUUCGCCCACGCCCCCCACCAAGGCUAUAGCCCACCCGUUUUUUGGCCAUUUUUCCGCUGGGGGGUCUUGGCGCCCCGACCUUCGGGGGCUGAUUUUUGGGCGCGGCUGUGCCCGUUGCCUAUUUUUGGCACACGGAGGCCGCCCGCAAAGUCUGGGGCCAUUCCGAGUCCGGCGGACGAACUUCGCCCACGCCCCCCACCAAGGCUAUAGCCCGCCCACCCGUUUUUUGGCUAUUUUUCCGCUGGGGGGUCUUGGCGCCCCGACCUUCGGGGGCUGAUUUUUGGGCGCUGGUGUGCCCGUGGCCAAUUUUUGGCACAAGGAGGCCGCCCGCAAAGUCUGGGGCCAUUCCGAGUCCGGCGGACGAACUUCGCCCACGCCCCCCACCAAGGCUAUAGCCCACCCAUUUUUUGGCCAUUUUUCCGCUGGGGGGUCUUGGCGCCCCGACCUUCGGGGGCUGAUUUUUGGGCGCGGCUCUGCCCGUGGCCUAUUUUUGGCACAAGGAAGCCGCCCACAAAGUCUGGGGCCAUUCCGAGUCCGGCGGACGAACUUCGCCCACGCCCCCCACCAAGGCUAUAGCCCACCCGUUUUUUGGCCAUUUUUCCGCUGGGGGGUCUUGGCGCCCCGAUCUUCGGGGGCUGAUUUUUGGGCGCGGCUCUGCCCGUGGCCUAUUUUUGGCACACGGAAGCCGCCCGCAAAGUCUGGGGCCAUUCCGAGUCCGGCGGACGAACUUCGCCCACGCCCCCCACCAAGGCUAUAGCCCACCCGUUUUUUGGCCAUUUUUCCGCUGGGGGGUGUUGGCACCCCGACCUUCGGGGGCUGAUUUUUGGGCGCGGCUGUGCCCGUGGCCUAUUUUUGGCAAACGGAGGCCGCCCGCAACGUCUGGGGCCAUUCCGAGUCCGGCGGACGAACUUCGCCCACGCCCCCCACCAAGGCUAUAGCCCACCCGUUUUUUGGCCAUUUUUCCGCUGGGGGGUCUUGGCGCCCAGACCUUCGGGGGCUGAUUUUUGGGCGCGGCUGUGCCCGUGGCCUAGUUUUGGCACACGGAGGCCGCCCGCAAAGUCUGGGGCCAUUCCGAGUCCGGCGGACGAACUUCGCCCACGCCCCCCACCAAGGCUAUAGCCCACCCGUUUUUUGGCCAUUUUUCCGCUGGGGGGUCUUGGCACCCCGACCUUCGCGGGCUGAUUUUUGGGCGCGGCUCUGCCCGUGGCCUAUUUUUGGCACACGGAAGCCGCCCGCAAAGUCUGGGGCCAUUCCGAGUCCGGCGGACGAACUUCGCCCACGCCCCCCACCAAGGCUAUAGCCCACCCGUUUUUUGGCCAUUUUUCCGCUGGGGGGUCUUGGCACCCCGACCUUCGCGGGCUGAUUUUUGGGCGCGGCUCUGCCCGUGGCCUAUUUUUGGCACACGGAAGCCGCCCGCAAAGUCUGGGGCCAUUCCGAGUCCGGCGGACGAACUUCGCCCACGCCCCCCACCAAGGCUAUAGCCCACCCGUUUUUUGGCCAUUUUUCCGCUGGGGGGACUUGGCACCCCGACCUUCGGGGGCUGAUUUUUGGGCGCGGCUCUGCCCGUGGCCUAUUUUUGGCACACGGAGGCCGCCCGCAAAGUCUGGGGCCAUUCCGAGUUCGGCGGAUGAACUGCGCCCACGCCCCCCACCAAGGCUAUAGCCCACCCGUUUUUUGGCCAUUUUUCCGCUGGGGGGUCUUGGCGCCCCAACCUUCGGGGGCUGAUUUUUGGGCGCGGCUGUGCCCGUUGCCUAUUUUUGGCACACGGAGGCCGCCCGCAAAGUCUGGGGCCAUUCCGAGUCCGGCGGACGAACUUCGCCCACGCCCCCCACCAAGGCUAUAGCCCGCCCACCCGUUUUUUGGCUAUUUUUCCGCUGGGGGGUCUUGGCGCCCCGACCUUCGGGGGCUGAUUUUUGGGCGCUGGUGUGCCCGUGGCCUAUUUUUGGCACACGGAGGCCGCGCGCAAAGUCUGGGGCCAUUCCGAGUUCGGCGGAUGAACUGCGCCCACGCCCCCCACCAAGGCUAUAGCCCACCCGUUUUUUGGCCAUUUUUCAGCUGGGGGGUGUUGGCACCCCGACCUUCGGGGGCUGAUUUUUGGGCGCGGCUGCGUCCGUGGCCUAUUUUUGGCACACGGAGGCCGCCCGCAACAUCUGGGGCCAUUCCAAGUCCGGCGGACGAACUUCGCCCACCCCCCCCACCAAGGCUAUAGCCCACCCGUUUUUUGGCCAUUUUUCCGCUGGGGGGUCUUGGCGCCCCGACCUUCGGGGGCUGAUUUUUGGGCGCGGCUCUGCCCGUGGCCUAUUUUUGGCACACAGAAGCCGCCCGCAAAGUCUGGGGCCAUUCCGAGUCCGGCGGACGUACUUCGCCCACGCCCCCCACCAAGGCUAUAGCCCACCCGUUUUUUGGCCAUUUUUCCGCUGGGGGGUGUUGGCACCCCGACCUUCGGGGGCUGAUUUUUGGGCGCGGCUGUGCCCGUGGCCUAUUUUUGGCACAUGGACGACGCCCGCAACGUCUGGGGCCAUUCCGAGUCCGGCGGACGAACUUCGCCCACGCCCCCCACCAAGGCUAUAGCCCACCCGUUUUUUGGCCAUUUUUCCGCUGGGGGGUGUUGGCACCCCGACCUUCGGGGGCUGAUUUUUGGGCGCGGCUGUGCCCGUGGCCUAUUUUUGGCACACGGAGGCCGCCCGCAAAGUCUGGGGCCAUUCCGAGUCCGGCGGACGAACUUCGCCCACGCCCCCCACCAAGGCUAUAGCCCACCCGUUUUUUGGCCAUUUUUCCGCUGGGGGGUGUUGGCACCCCGACCUUCGGGGGCUGACUUUUGGGCGCGGCUGUGCCCGUGGCCUAUUUUUGGCACACGGAGGCCGCCCGCAAAGUCUGGGGCCAUUCCGAGUCCGGCGGACGAACUUCGCCCACGCCCCCCACCAAGGCUAUAGCCCACCCGUUUUUUGGCCAUUUUUCCGCGGGGGGGUGUUGGCACCCCGACUUUCGGGGGCUGAUUUUUGGGCGCGGCUGUGCCCGUGGCCUAUUUUUGGCACACGGAGGCCGCCCGCAAAGUCUGGGGCCAUUCCGAGUCCGGCGGACGAACUUCGCCCACGCCCCCCACCAAGGCUAUAGCCCACCCGUUUUUUGGCCAUUUUUCAGCUGGGGGGUGUUGGCACCCCGACCUUCGGGGGCUGAUUUUUGGGCGCGGCUGUGCCCGUGGCCUAUUUUUGGCACACGGAGGCCGCCCGCAACAUCUGGGGCCAUUCCGAGUCCGGCGGACGAACUUCGCCCACGCCCCCCACCAAGGCUAUAGCCCACCCGUUUUUUGGCCAUUUUUCCGCUGGGGGGUCUUGGCGCCCCGACCUUCGGGGGCUGAUUUUUGGGCGCGGCUGUGCCCGUGGCCUAUUUUUGGCACACGGAGGCCGCCCGCAAAUUCUGGGGCCAUUCCGAGUCCGGCGGACGAACUUCGCCCACGCCCCCCACCAAGGCUAUAGUCCGCCCACCCGUUUUUUGCCCAUUUUUCCGCUGCGGGGUCUUGGCGCCCCGAUCUUCGGGGGCUGAUUUUUGGGCGCGGGUGUGCCCGUGGCCUGUUUUUGGCACACGGAGGCCGCCCGCAAAGUCUGGGGCCAUUCCGAGUCCGGCGGACGAACUUCGCCCACGCCCCCCACCAAGGCUAUAGCCCGCCCACCCGUUUUUUUUGCCAUUUUUCCGCUAGGGGGUAUUGGCGCCCCGACCUUCGGGGGCUGAUUUUUGGGCGCGGGUGUGCCCGUGGCCUGUUUUUGGCACACGGAGGCCGCCCGCAAAGUCUGGGGCCAUUCCGAGUCCGGCGGACGAACUUCGCCCACGCCCCCCACCAAGGCUAUAGCCCACCCGUUUUUUGGCCAUUUUUCCGCUGGGGGGUCUAGGCGCCCCGACAUUCGGGGGCUGAUUUUUGGGCGCGGCUGUGCCCGUGGCCUAUUUUUGGCACACGGAGGCCGCCCGCAAAGUCUGGGGCCAUUCCGAGUCCGGCGGACGAACUUCGCCCACGCCCCCCACCAAGGCUAUAGCCCCACCGUUUUUUGGCCAUUUUUCCGCUGGGGGGUCUUGGCGCCCCAACCUUCGGGGGCUGAUUUUUGGGCGCGGCUGUGCCCGUGGCCUAUUUUUGGCACACGGAGGCCGCCCGCAAAGUCUGGGGCCAUUCCGAGUCCGGCGGACGAACUUCGCCCACGCCCCCCACCAAGGCUAUAGCCCACCCGUUUUUUGGCCAUUUUUCCGCUGGGGGGUCUUGGCGCCUCGACCUUCGGGGGCUGAUUUUUGGGCGCGGCUCUGCCCGUGGCCUAUAUUUGGCACACGGAAGCCGCCCGCAAAGUCUGGGGCCAUUCCGAGUCCGGCGGACGAACUUCGCCCACGCCCCCCACCAAGGCUAUAGCCCACCCGUUUUUUGGCCAUUUUUCCGCUGGGGGGUGUUGGCACCCCGACCUUCGGGGGCUGAUUUUUGGGCGCGGCUCUGCCCGUGGCCUAUUUUUGGCACACGGAAGCCGCCCGCAAAGUCUGGGGCCAUUCCGAGUUCGGCGGACGAACUUCGCCCACGCCCCCCACCAAGGCUAUAGCCCACCCGUUUUUUGGCCAUUUUUCCGCUGGGGGGUGUUGGCACCCCGACAUUCGGGGGCUGAUUUUUGGGCGCGGCUGUGCCCGUGGCCUAUUUUUGGCACACGGAGGCCGCCCGCAAAGUCUGGGGCCAUUCCGAGUCCGGCGGACGAACUUCGCCCACGCCCCCCACCAAGGCUAUAGCCCGCCCACCCGUUUUUUGGGCAUUUUUCCGCCGGGGGGUCUUGGCGCCCCGACCUUCGGGGGCUGAUUUUUGGGCGCGGGUGUGCCCGUGGCCUGUUUUUGGCACACGGAGGCCGCCCGCAAAGUCUGGGGCCAUUCCGAGUCCGGCGGACGAACUUCGCCCACGCCCCCCACCAAGGCUAUAGCCCACCCGUUUUUUGGCCAUUUUUCCACUGGGGGGUCUUGGCGCCCCGACCUUCGGGGGCUGAUUUUUGGGCGCGGCUGUGCCCGUGGCCUGUUUUUGGCACACGGAGGCCGCCCGCAACGUCUGGGGCCAUUCCGAGUCCGGCGGACGAACUUCGCCCACGCCCCCCACCAAGGCUAUAGCCCACCCGUUUUUUGGCCAUUUUUCCGCUGGGGGGUCAUGGCACCCCGACCUUCGGGGGCUGAUUUUUGGGCGCGGCUCUGCCCGUGUCCUAUUUUUGGCACACGGAAGCCGCCCGCAAAGUCUGGGGCCAUUCCGAGUCCGGCGGACGAACUUCGCCCACGCCCCCCACCAAGGCUAUAGCCCACCCGUUUUUUGGCCAUUUUUCAGCUGGGGGGUGUUGGCACCCCGACCUUCGGGGGCUGAUUUUUGGGCGCGGCUGCGCCCGUGGCCUAUUUUUGGCACACGGAGGCCGCCCGCAACAUCUGGGGCCAUUCCGAGUCCGGCGGACGAACUUCGCCCACGCCCCCCACCAAGGCUAUAGCCCGCCCACCCGUUUUUUGGCUAUUUUUCCGCUGGGGGGUCUUGGCGCCCCGACCUUCGGGGGCUGAUUUUUGGGCGCUGGUGUGCCCGUGGCCUAUUUUUGGCACACGGAGGCCGCCCGCAAAGUCUGGGGCCAUUCCGAGUCCGGCGGACGUACUUCGCCCACGCCCCCCACCAAGGCUAUAGCCCACCCGUUUUUUGGCCAUUUUUCCGCUGGGGGGUGUUGGCACCCCGACCUUCGGGGGCUGAUUUUUGGGCGCGGCUGUGCCCGUGGCCUAUUUUUGGCACAUGGACGACGCCCGCAACGUCUGGGGCCAUUCCGAGUUCGGCGGACGAACUUCGCCCACGCCCCCCACCAAGGCUAUAGCCCACCCGUUUUUUGGCCAUUUUUCCGCUGGGGGGUGUUGGCACCCCGACCUUCGGGGGCUGAUUUUUGGGCGCGGCUGUGCCCGUGGCCUAUUUUUGGCACACGGAGGCCGCCCGCAACAUCUGGGGCCAUUCCGAGUCCGGCGGACGAACUUCGCCCACGCCCCCCACCAAGGCUAUAGCCCACCCGUUUUUUGGCCAUUUUUCCGCUGGGGGGUCUUGGCGCCCCGACCUUCGGGGGCCGAUUUUUGGGCGCGGCUGUGCCCGUGGCCUAUUUUUGGCACACGGAGGCCGCCCGCAAAGUCUGGGGCCAUUCCGAGUCCGGCGGACGAACUUCGCCCACGCCCCCCACCAAGGCUAUAGCCCACCCGUUUUUUGGCCAUUUUUCCGCUGGGGGGUGUUGGCACCCCGACCUUCGGGGGCUGAUUUUUGGGGGCGGCUGUGCCCGUGGCCUAUUUUUGGCACACGGAGGCCGCCCGCAACGUCUGGGGCCAUUCCGAGUCCGGCGGACGAACUUCGCCCACGCCCCCCACCAAGGCUAUAGCCCACCCGUUUUUUGGCCAUUUUUCAGCUGGGGGGUGUUGGCACCCCGACCUUCGGGGGCUGAUUUUUGGGCGCGGCUGUGCCCGUGGCCUAUUUUUGGCACACGGAGGCCGCCCGCAACAUCUGGGGCCAUUCCGAGUCCGGCGGACGAACUUCGCCCACGCCCCCCACCAAGGCUAUAGCCCACCCGUUUUUUGGCCAUUUUUCCGCUGGGGGGUCUUGGCGCCCCGACCUUCGGGGGCUGAUUUUUGGGCGCGGCUGUGCCCGUGGCCUAUUUUUGGCACACGGAGGCCGCCCGCAAAUUCUGGGGCCAUUCCGAGUCCGGCGGACGAACUUCGCCCACGCCCCCCACCAAGGCUAUAGUCCGCCCACCCGUUUUUUGCCCAUUUUUCCGCUGCGGGGUCUUGGCGCCCCGAUCUUCGGGGGCUGGUUUUUGGGCGCGGGUGUGCCCGUGGCCUGUUUUUGGCACACGGAGGCCGCCCGCAAAGUCUGGGGCCAUUCCGAGUCCGGCGGACGAACUUCGCCCACGCCCCCCACCAAGGCUAUAGCCCGCCCACCCGUUUUUUUUGCCAUUUUUCCGCUAGGGGGUCUUGGCGCCCCGACCUUCGGGGGCUGAUUUUUGGGCGCGGGUGUGCCCGUGGCCUGUUUUUGGCACACGGAGGCCGCCCGCAAAGUCUGGGGCCAUUCCGAGUCCGGCGGACGAACUUCGCCCACGCCCCCCACCAAGGCUAUAGCCCACCCGUUUUUUGGCCAUUUUUCCGCUGGGGGGUCUAGGCGCCCCGACAUUCGGGGGCUGAUUUUUGGGCGCCGCUGUGCCCGUGGCCUAUUUUUGGCACACGGAGGCCGCCCGCAAAGUCUGGGGCCAUUCCGAGUCCGGCGGACGAACUUCGCCCACGCCCCCCACCAAGGCUAUAGCCCACCCGUUUUUUGGCCAUUUUUCCGCUGGGGGGUCUUGGCGCCUCGACCUUCGGGGGCUGAUUUUUGGGCGCGGCUCUGCCCGUGGCCUAUAUUUGGCACACGGAAGCCGCCCGCAAAGUCUGGGGCCAUUCCGAGUCCGGCGGACGAACGUCGCCCACGCCCCCCACCAAGGCUAUAGCCCACCCGUUUUUUGGCCAUUUUUCCGCUGGGGGGUGUUGGCACCCCGACCUUCGGGGGCUGAUUUUUGGGCGCGGCUCUGCCCGUGGCCUAUUUUUGGCACACGGAAGCCGCCCGCAAAGUCUGGGGCCAUUCCGAGUCCGGUGGACGAACUUCGCCCACGCCCCCCACCAAGGCUAUAGCCCACCCGUUUUUUGGCCAUUUUUGCGCUGGGGGGUGUUGGCACCCCGACCUUCGGGGGCUGAUUUUUGGGCGCGGCUGUGCCCGUGGCCUAUUUUUGGCACACGGAGGCCGCCCGCAACGUCUGGGGCCAUUCCGAGUCCGGCGGACGAACUUCGCCCACGCCCCCCACCAAGGCUAUAGCCCACCCGUUUUUUGGCCAUUUUUCCGCUGGGGGGUGUUGGCGCCCCGACCUUCGGGGGCUGAUUUUUGGGCGCGGCUGUGCCCGUGGCCUAUUUUUGGCACACAGAGGCCGCCCGCAAAGUCUGGGGCCAUUCCGAGUCCGGCGGACGAACUUCGCACACGGCUCCCACCAAGGCUAUAGCCCACCCGUUUUUUGGCCUUUUUUCCGCUGGGGGGUGUUGGCACCCCGACCUUCGGGGGCUGAUUUUUGGGCGCGGCUGUGCCCGUGGCCUAUUUUUGGCACACGGAGGCCGCCCGCAAAGUCUGGGGCCAUUCCGAGUUCGGCGGACGAACUUCGCCCGCGCCCCCCACCAAGGCUAUAGCCCACCCGUUUUUUGGCCAUUUUUCCGCUGGGGGGUCUUGGCGCCCCGACCUUCGGGGGCUGAUUUUUGGGCGCGGCUGUGCCCGUGGCCUAUUUUUGGCACACGGAGGCCGCCCGCAAAGUCUGGGGCCAUUCCGAGUCCGGCGGACGAACUUCGCCCACGCCCCCCACCAAGGCUAUAGCCCGCCCACCCGUUUUUUGGCCAUUUUUCCGCUGGGGGGUCUUGGCGCCCCGACCAUCGGGGGCUGAUUUUUGGGCGCGGGUGUGCCCGUUGCCUGUUUUUGGCACACGGAGGCCGCCCGCAAAGUCUGGGGCCAUUCCGAGUCCGGCGGACGAACUUCGCCCACGCCCCCCACCAAGGCUAUAGCCCACCCGUUUUUUGGCCAUUUUUCCGCUGGGGGGUCUUGGCGCCCCGACCUUCGGGGGCUGAUUUUUGGGCGCGGCUGUGCCCGUGGCCUAUUUUUGGCACACGGAGGCCGCCCGCAAAAUCUGGGGCCAUUCCGAGUCCGGCGGACGAACUUCGCCCACGCCCCCCACCAAGGCUAUAGCCCACCCGUUUUUUGGCCAUUUUUCCGCUGGGGGGUCUUGGCACCCCGACCUUCGGGGGCUGAUUUUUGGGCGCGGCUCUGCCCGUGGCCUAUUUUUGGCACACGGAAGCCGCCCGCAAAGUCUGGGGCCAUUCCGAGUCCGGCGGACGAACUUCGCCCACGCCCCCCACCAAGGCUAUAGCCCACCCGUUUUUUGGCCAUUUUUCCGCUGGGGGGUCUUGGCACCCCGACCUUCGGGGGCUGAUUUUUGGGCGCGGCUCUGCCCGUGGCCUAUUUUUGGCACACGGAGGCCGCCCGCAAGUCUGGGGCCAUUCCGAGUCCGGCGGACGAACUUCGCCCACGCCCCCCACCAAGGCUAUAGCCCACCCGUUUUUUGGCCAUUUUUCCGCUGGGGGGUCUUGGCACCCCGACCUUCGGGGGCUGAAUUUUGGGCGCGGCUCUGCCCGUGGCCUAUUUUUGGCACACGGAAGCCGCCCGCAAAGUCUGGGGCCAUUCCGAGUCCGGCGGACGAACUUCGCCCACGCCCCCCACCAAGGCUAUAGCCCGCCCACCCGUUUUUUGGCCAUUUUUCCGCUGGGGGGUCUUGGCGCCCCGACCUUCGGGGGCUGAUUUUUGGGCGCGGGUGUGCCCGUGGCCUAUUUUUGGCACACGGAGGCCGCCCGCAAAGUCUGGGGCCAUUCCGAGUCCGGCGGACGAACUUCGCCCACGCCCCCCACCAAGGCUAUAGCCCACCCGUUUUUUGGCCAUUUUUCCGCUGGGGGGUCUUGGCACCCCGACCUUCGGGGGCUGAUUUUUGGGUGCGGCUCUGCCCGUGGCCUAUUUUUGGCACACGGAAGCCGCCCGCAAAGUCUGGGGCCAUUCCGAGUCCGGCGGACGAACUUCGCCCACGACCCCCACCAAGGCUAUAGCCCACCCGUUUUUUGGCCAUUUUUCCGCUGGGGGGUCUUGGCGCCCCGACCCUCGGGGGCUGAUUUUUGGGCGCGGCUCUGCCCGUGGCCUAUUUUUGGCACACGAAAGCCGCCCGCAAAGUCUGGGGCCAUUCCGAGUCCGGCGGACGAACUUCGCCCACGCCCCCCAUCAAGGCUAUAGCCCACCCGUUUUUUGGCCAUUUUUCCGCUGGGGGGUCUUGGCGCCCCGACCUUCGGGGGCUGAUUUUUGGGCGCGGCUCUGACCGUGGCCUAUUUUUGGCACACGGAGGCCGCCCGCAACGUCUGGGGCCAUUCCGAGUCCGGCGGACGAACUUCGCCCACGCCCCCCACCAAGGCUAUAGCCCGCCCACCCGUUUUUUGGCCAUUUUUCCGCUGGGGGGUCUUGGCGCCCCGACCUUCGGGGGCUGAUUUUUGGGCGCGGGUGUGCCCGUGGCCUGUUUUUGGCACACGGAGGCCGCCCGCAAAGUCUGGGGCCACUCCGAGUCCGGCGGACGAACUUCGCCCACGCCCCCCACCAAGGCUAUAGCCCACCCGUUUUUUGGCCAUUUUUUUGCUUGGGGGUGUUGGCACUUCGACCUUCGGGGGCUGAUUUUUGGGCGCGGGUGUGCCCGUGGCCUAUUUUUGGCACACGGAGGCCGCCCGCAAAGUCUGGGGCCAUUCCGAGUCCGGCGGACGAACUUCGCCCACGCCCCCCACCAAGGCUAUAGCCCGCCCACCCGUUUUUUGGCCAUUUUUCCGCUGGGGGGUCUUGGCGCCCCGACCUUCGGGGGCUGAUUUUUGGGCGCGGGUGUGCCCGUGGCCUGUUUUUGGCACACGGAGGCCGCCCGCAAAGUCUGGGGCCAUUCCGAGUCCGGCGGACGAACUUCGCCCACGCCCCCCACCAAGGCUAUAGCCCGCCCACCCGUUUUUUGGCCAUUUUUCCGCUGGGGGGUCUUGGCGCCCCGACCUUCGGGGGCUGAUUUUUUGGCGCGGGUGCGCCCGUGGCCUGUUUUUGGCACACGGAGGCCGCCCGCAAAGUCUGGGGCCAUUCCGAGUCCGGCGGACGAACUUCGCCCACGCCCCCCACCAAGGCUAUAGCCCGCCCGUUUUUUGGCCAUUUUUCCGCCGGGGGGUCUUAUCGCCCCGACCUUCGGGGGCUGAAUUUUGGGCGCGGGUGUGCCCAUGGCCUAUUUUUGGCACACGGAGGCCGCCCGCAAAGUCUGGGGCCAUUCCGAGUCCGGCGGACGAACUUCGCCCACGCCCCCCACCAAGGCUAUAGCCCACCCGUUUUUUGGCCAUUUUUCCGCUGGGGGGUCUUGGCGCCCCGACCUUCGGGUGCUGAUUUUUGGGCGCGGCUGUGCCCGUGGCCUAUUUUUGGCACACGGAGGCCGCCCGCAAAGUCUGGGGCCAUUCCGAGUCCGGCGGACGAACUUCGCCCACGCCCCCCACCAAGGCUAUAGCCCACCCGUUUUUUGGCCAUUUUUCCGCUGGGGGGUCUUGGCGCCCCGACCUUCGGGGGCUGAUUUUUGGGAGCGGCUGUGUCCGUGGCCUAUUUUUGGCACACAGAGGCCGCCC